CAAUUCCUAUCUUUAAGGAAAGAGCCUACGGCUAUACUGCUCUGGGCACCUAGGAGCCUGUUUCUACAAAGGUAGGAAAAGAGAUGUCCGGAACCUAGGGGCCCAGAAGACGGCGAACGAAGCCCCCUCUGCAGACCCAAGGAACCACCUGUCCUCAAGCCCCUGGCCCAGACCUGCUGUAGUUCUCCUCAGGACCUCUCUCUUCUGCAUCAGCCUCAUCAGUCCUGUCGUACGUCAGGAGGUCUGCAGGGACAUCAUGAAUCUGGACACUAGGUGCAUGGUUCAGCAUCUUCAAGUUUUCAAAGAUUGUCUGGCGGAUCUGGUCCAGAUACUAGUUGAAAGGAAGGAAAAGUCAGCAGCUCCUGAAUUCCCGGAAUACACACCCUCCUCUCUGCCUUCUGCUCUGAACUGGUUUAAAGAAGUAUUUCAAGUUCAGAUCCCAGUUGAUAACUGUCCCUACUUUAUCCUGGGCUUCCCCACAAUGGUAAGCGUGACAGUGACAGCCAGGACCUCCUUCUCUUGCUUUCUCCUAAUUCCCACCUCCCCGACCUCUCGAGUCCUCUUCUCAUCACUUCUCCAGCUUCUCCCAGCUGCUAACCUGGCGUGAGUUCUGAUUCUCGAUGCGGGUGCUGACGUCUGGAUGGAGCGUGAAGUCCGGGGCAAAGUACUCGAAGUAUUCUUAGAGAUGGGAAGGGAUUGGAAGAGGGGAUGAAGCAGUACGGCUGAAUACAAAAAGAGUCCAUAGUGAAUCACAAAGGAGAAAGAGAACGGAGGACUCACCAGCACCGGGCAACAUUUCGGACAGUGUAGCCACCACCACCCAGCACCAGGAGAGGGAUAUUGAAGCUCUUGACAUAUUCAACACAUUCCCUGUUAGAAGCAAUAAGAGGAGUGGGUGAAUCCAAGAAUGUGACCCCAGGUAUCACUUGAAUGCUAGACAAAGAAACUGGCAACUAAAUGUUCUCUAUGUUGUUCUGGGCAGCAUAACUCACAGUGGCAUUUUUUGUGUGUGACUGCUUGUGUAGAUGUGUGUGAAUCUUCAUGUGUGUUGAUGCCUGCAUGUGUGUGUUGGGGAUGUCUACAUGUAUGUGCAUAUGUACAGAGCGGCCAGAAGAUAUCAAGUGUUGUUCUAAAGGUACCAUCCACCUCUUUUUAUUUUUUAUUUUUGGGCCUGAAACUUCCCAAUUAGGCUAAGAUGACUGGUCACCAAGCCCUAGGAAUCUUCUUGUCUCUACCUUACCAGGACUGAGAUUAUGAAUCAUAAAUGCAUGCUAUUGGGCCUGACAUUCUUACAUGGGUUCUGGGGGAUCAAAUUCAAGUCUUCAUGUUUGUGUAACAAGCACUUUUACUGAGUGUGCUAUUCACCCGAUCCCCACCCCAUGCCUUCCUGCCUCAAGAUUAGAUUUUAUUCAAGAUUAGUGUGCACUAGGGACUGGAGAGUUGACACAGCAGUAAAGUGUGUUUACUGCUCUUCCUGAAGACCAGAGUUUCAGUUUCCAGCACAUACACUGAGCAGCUCACAAGCACCUGUAACUCUAGCUCCAG